UGGGGAAUAUUGGACAAUGGGCGGAAGCCUGAUCCAGCCAUGCCGCGUGUGUGAAGAAGGCCUUUUGGUUGUAAAGCACUUUAGGCGAGGAGGAGGCUCUUCUAGUUAAUACCUAGGAUGAGUGGACGUUACUCGCAGAAUAAGCACAGGCUAACGCUGUGCCAGCAGCCGCGGUAAUACAGAGGGUGCGAGCGUGAAUCGGACUUACUGGGCGUAAAGCGUGCGUAGGUGGUUCGUUAAGUUGAAUGUGAAAGCCCCGGGCUCAACCUGGGAACGGCAUCCAAAACUGGCAAGCUAGAGUAGGGCAGAGGGGGGAGGAAUUUCCUGUGUAGCGGGGAAAUGCGUAGAUAUAGGAAAGAACACCAGUGGCGAAGGCGGCCACCUGGGCUCAAACUGACACUGAGUUGCGAAAGCGUGGGGAGCGAACAGG
rnacentral:rRNA from 1 species